UUCCUUUCGUUUUAUCUCAACCAGGGAAAGNCGAUCAUUGAGAAGUUGGAAUGGCUUCCUCAAUCCCAAAUUGGAGGGUUCGUACUUGUUUGGAUACAUCUUAUAUCAUUGCAAUGAAUCAUUUGUUGAGAGAAGAUCAUGUUCUACGAAUUUGUGAGACACCUUUCAGGUGGUGUGUGUACCUACGUGAAAAGGUGGACAUAAACUGUGAGUUAAUUAAGGUGAUGGUAUGUCGGUGGGCCGGGCAUGUUAGCUUUAGGCUGAGUCAUGAACUAGUUCCAUUUACCGUUUUAGAUGUUUUCAUGACGACGGGUUUAGGUAUAGGUGGUUUAGAAGUACCGUUUGAUGAAUGUAUAGAAGGUUUGGUUGGAGAAAUGUUUAACAGAAAAAGCACUUCUUUGAGUGACUUGGUUGAAGUGUUUAAUGUGAUUGUUGUAGACAAAAACACAGACAUUGAU